GGAAAAAGGAAAUGCCGUCCUUUGACAAGAUGUGGGAAACCACCUCGAUUUCUGCUCCGUGUGGCUGUGACCAGAAAACAAAGAACCCUCGCCGGAUCCGGGGGCCAAGUUUCAAGUAAACUUUUCCGGACGCACCAAGCAAGCGUGUUUUUGUGUGUACUUGCUGGCUAGCAAGGCUCUUCGUCUGCUGGAAGCUGUAAUAAGGCCCGUCUUGAGGGGAUCAAGAGAACUGAGGAUCCAGUUGAACCCAUGGGGCACAGGGAAGCAGGAAGCAUGUCCUUCCGAGCCUCCUAAGGGCAAAGCCCAUGGUCAGAAGGAUGAGGGACGGAGAAGGCACACCCUGGAGUCAGUGUACCCCACAUUCCCGUGUCUUCCUCUUUGAAGCUUAAAGCCAUUCCUCAGAAACAUGUCGAAGUCCACCAGGAAGUGAACAGCUCUGUCCCCAAAGCCACCCACCCAUCAGAUUGAUGGGACUGCCUUUUCCAGAAGGGUGAAUCGGGGGCUCUCCGGGGACCAAACGGUAGCAAGAAAAACCACUGCCAGUGUUGGAGAUUGGCCUCCAAAAUGACAUCCAGUAACUUUCUCCAAUCCAGUUUCCUUUCGUGGAAAGAUGGGUUGUUUCUACUGAGCCUGCUGUGGUCCAGCCUUGUGGUCAGCCCUGAACAACAGAGCCUCAGGAGUCU